rnacentral:rRNA from 1 species
AGCGAACGCUGGCGGCAGGCCUAACACAUGCAAGUCGAGCGAACUCUUCGGAGUUAGUGGCGGACGGGUGAGUAACACGUGGGAACGUGCCUUUUGGUUCGGAAUAACUCAGGGAAACUUGUGCUAAUACCGAAUGUGCCCUUCGGGGGAAAGUUUUAUCGCCAUUAGAGCGGCCCGCGUCUGAUUAGCUAGUUGGUGAGGUAAAAGCUCACCAAGGCGACGAUCAGUAGCUGGUCUGAGAGGAUGACCAGCCACCCUGGCACUGAGACACGGCCCAGACUCCUACGGGAGGCAGCAGUGGGGAAUCUUGCGCAAUGGGCGAAAGCCUGCCGCAGCCAUGCCGCGUGAAUGAUGAAGGUCUUAGGAUUGUAAAAUUCUUUCACCGGGGACGAUAAUGACGGUACCCGGAGAAGAAGCCCCGGCUAACUUCGUGCCAGCAGCCGCGGUAA